AACGGACGCUGGCGGCAUGCCUAACACAUGCAAGUCGAACGAGGCCUUCGGGUCUAGUGGCGCACGGGUGCGUAACGCGUGGGAACCUGCCCUUAGGUUCGGAAUAACUCCCCGAAAGGGGUGCUAAUACCGGAUAAUGUCUUCGGACCAAAGAUUUAUCGCCUUUGGAUGGGCCCGCGUUGGAUUAGCUAGUUGGUAGGGUAAAAGCCUACCAAGGCUACGAUCCAUAGCUGGUCUGAGAGGAUGAUCAGCCACACUGGGACUGAGACACGGCCCAGACUCCUACGGGAGGCAGCAGUGGGGAAUAUUGGACAAUGGGCGAAAGCCUGAUCCAGCAAUGCCGCGUGGGUGAUGAAGGCCUUAGGGUUGUAAAGCUCUUUUACCCGGGAUGAUAAUGACAGUACCGGGAGAAUAAGCUCCGGCUAACUCCGUG
rnacentral:rRNA from 1 species